rnacentral:rRNA from 1 species
CAGGCCUAACACAUGCAAGUCGAGCGGAUGACGGGAGCUUGCUCCCGGAUUCAGCGGCGGACGGGUGAGUAAUGCCUAGGAAUCUGCCUGGUAGUGGGGGACAACGUUUCGAAAGGAACGCUAAUACCGCAUACGUCCUACGGGAGAAAGCAGGGGACCUUCGGGCCUUGCGCUAUCAGAUGAGCCUAGGUCGGAUUAGCUUGUUGGUGAGGUAAUGGCUCACCAAGGCGACGAUCCGUAACUGGUCUGAGAGGAUGAUCAGUCACACUGGAACUGAGACACGGUCCAGACUCCUACGGGAGGCAGCAGUGGGGAAUAUUGGACAAUGGGCGAAAGCCUGAUCCAGCCAUGCCGCGUGUGUGAAGAAGGUCUUCGGAUUGUAAAGCACUUUAAGUUGGGAGGAAGGGCAGUAAGCGAAUACCUUGCUGUUUUGACGUUACCGACAGAAUAAGCACCGGCUAACUCUGUGCCAGCAGCCGCGGUAAU